rnacentral:tRNA from 1 species
UAGAAAGUGGUGUAGUGGGAGCACUUAGAGUUUUGAUCUCUACAGGGUGGGUUCAAGUCCCUUUUUUCUAA